AACCACGUUUUUGACUAAUGUUGAAGCAAAAGAAUGAUUUGUUUAGAAAGUCACUAAAUUUAUUAUAAAAAGACAUCUUAAAUUCCACAAACAUUCAUUAUAGAAAGUCAUUUACCCUAACCAAACCUAACUAAUAAUUAGAAAAGCAAACCUAGACUAAACCAAGAGUAAACCAAAAGCCUAAGCCUAAUCCUCUUUGCCGUCAAUGCUUCCUAUCCACUGUUAGUCUCAGCAUGCCUCCUCCACCUUCAAGCUCAACUGGCCUUUUCCGCCAUCAAUCUUGCCACACCGGAUCUUCUUCUUAGGCGGCUGGCCACACCAGAGAAAUUGUCGUUGUCGAUUGAGGAGAAGCUGUCAAUCUUUUCGCACUGAAGCUUCUUCUCACAGUCACCACACCGUAGAAGCUGUCCACUGUCGUCGUCGUUGUCCGCGUCGAAGCUCGUGAGAGAUUGUGACUGCCGUCGUCGUUGUUGCCAUCUUAGUUGUUGUGGUUGUUGUCUGUGAAAACAAAAGAAGAAAAGAAGAUUAUCAGUGAGAGAUCGAGAGAUUGAGAGAAGUUGAGUAAAUAAAGGAAAAGAAAUAAAAGUAAAAUGUUCUUGUCCUUUAGAUCAGAUAUCAAUGGUUGAGGUUAGAAACUGGUUAUCCUCGCCACUAUUUUUCAACCAAUGAGAGAUAUGAUAGGUAUAAUGAGAAGGAAGAGAUAUGGUCCACUGGAUUGAGCUUAAUCAAUGGACACAAAUUAAUCCUUGUAUAAAUGGAUCAGCCA
rnacentral:lncRNA from 1 species